CACACACAACAAUCUUCAUCAACAUGACCUUCAUCGUCUUCAUCUGGACACUUUCAUACUGCUUUAUACUACAAGGGUGUAAAGCUCAGAUCACAGUCACUCAGACUCCUUCAGUGAAAACUGUCACACCACGAGAAAAUGUUGAGAUGAGCUGUAAACUCAGUAGUCCUGCUACAGCCUGCAGUCCAGCAUGUGUGUUCUGGUACUUACAGAAACCUGGAGAAGCUCCUAAACUCCUGAUUUAUUAUAUAAACCGUCUCCAGUCAGGAACUCCAUCUAGAUUCAGUGGCAGUGGAUCUCACAGCGAUUACACUUUGGCUAUCAGUGGAGUCCAGACUGAAGAUGCUGGACAUUAUUACUGUCAGAGUUACCACUACAUCAACAGUAAAUAUGUGUUCACACAGUGAUAAAGAGUCGUACAAAAACCUCCAUCAGUCAGAGUCACAGAGACUGAACUGAUCCUGCAGCUGCUCAAACACUAUCACUCACUCAACAGUGAAGAAACACAAUAUGAUCUUAUAAUGAACAUUAUUUUGUUGAGCUUAAUCAUUAUUUAUUUUUGACUGAGUUUUCUUUAUCAUUCCUUUAUCAUUUUA